CAGUAGCCGCGGUAAUACGAAGGGUGCAAGCGUUAAUCGGAAUUACUGGGCGUAAAGCGUGCGUAGGCGGUUUGUUAAGUCUGCUGUGAAAUCCCCGGGCUCAACCUGGGAAUGGCAGUGGAUACUGGCAAGCUAGAGUGUGUCAGAGGAUGGUGGAAUUCCCGGUGUAGCGGUGAAAUGCGUAGAGAUCGGGAGGAACAUCAGUGGCGAAGGCGGUUAUCUGGGACAACACUGACGCUGAGGCACGAAAGCGUGGGGAGCAAACAGGAUUAGAUACCCCCGUAGUCCCUGUCUCUUAUAC
rnacentral:rRNA from 1 species